rnacentral:rRNA from 1 species
CUCCUACGGGGGGCAGCAGUGGGGAAUAUUGCACAAUGGGGGAAACCCUGAUGCAGCGACGCCGCGUGAAGGAAGAAGUAUCUCGGUAUGUAAACUUCUAUCAGCAGGGAAGAAAAUGACGGUACCUGACUAAGAAGCUCCGGCUAAAUACGUGCCAGCAGCCGCGGUAAUACGUAUGGAGCAAGCGUUAUCCGGAUUUACUGGGUGUAAAGGGAGCGUAGACGGAGGAGCAAGUCUGAUGUGAAAAUCCGGGGCCCAACCCCGGAACUGCAUUGGAAACUGUUUAUCUAGAGUGUCGGAGAGGG